rnacentral:rRNA from 1 species
UUCUGGCUCAGGAUGAACGCUAGCUACGGGCUUAACACAUGCAAGUCGAGGGGCAGCAUUGGAGUAGCAAUACUCAGAUGGCGACCGGCGCACGGGUGAGUAACACGUAUCCAACCUGCCGCUUACUCGGGGAUAGCCUUUCGAAAGAAAGAUUAAUACCCGAUGGUAUAAAGAGUUCGCAUGUUCUCUUUAUUAAAGAAUUUCGGUAAGCGAUGGGGAUGCGUUCCAUUAGAUAGUUGGCGGGGUAACGGCCCACCAAGUCUACGAUGGAUAGGGGUUCUGAGAGGAAGGUCCCCCACAUUGGAACUGAGACACGGUCCAAACUCCUACGGGAGGCAGCAGUGAGGAAUAUUGGUCAAUGGACGAGAGUCUGAACCAGCCAAAAGUAGCGUGAAGGAUGACUGCCCUAUGGGUUGUAAACUUCUUUUAUAAGGGAAUAAAGUGAGGGACGUGUCCCUUUUUGUAUGUACCUUAUGAAUAAGGAUCGGCUAACUCCGUGCCAGCCGCCGC